rnacentral:sRNA from 1 species
GUCACCCAGGCUGGAGUGCACUAGCACCAUCUCGGCUCACUGCAAGCUCCGCCUCCUGGGUUCAUGCCAUUCUCCCGCCUCAGCCUCCUGAGUAGCUGGGACUACAGAAGGCUGAAGAGAAUGCAGAGGGUGGGGAGUCUGCCCUGGGACCGGAUGGAGAGCCCAUAGAUGAGAGCAGCCAGAUGAGUGACCUCCCUGUCAAAGUGACUCACACAGAAACCGGCAAGGUUCUGUUCGGACCAGAAGCACCCAAAGCAAGUCAGCUGGACGCCUGGCUGGAAAUGAAUCCUGGUUAUGAAGUUGCCCCUAGAUCUGACAGUGAAGAGAGUGAUUCUGAUUAUGAGGAAGAGGAUGAGGAAGAAGAGUCCAGUAGGCAGGAAACCGAAGAGAAAAUACUCCUGGAUCCAAAUAGUGAAGAAGUUUCUGAGAAGGAUGCUAAGCAGAUCAUUGAGACAGCUAAGCAAGACGUGGAUGAUGAAUACAGCAUGCAGUACAGUGCCAGGGGCUCCCAGUCCUACUACACCGUGGCUCAUGCCAUCUCGGAGAGGGUGGAGAAACAGUCUGCCCUCCUCAUUAACGGGACCCUAAAGCAUUACCAGCUCCUUCUACUUCCAUAUGUGAGUUUUAUGCCUCUGUGUUGCUGAGCUGCUGUAGAUUCCCUGAACAUGCCUUGCAGUGUCUCUCUGGGUUUAUACCUCAUGAAGUGCCUUCUUCCUGGAAUCUUGACUAGCCAUAUCUGCCUGAUGAGAUCUCACAAACCAGUUCAAGUUGUGGCUCAAAGCCUUCCCUGAUCAUUUCUCAUAAACCAGUUCAAGUUGUGGCUCAAAGCCUUCCUUGAUCAUUCUCUCCGUGACUCCAGGGCCUGGAAUGGAUGGUUUCCCUGUAUAAUAACAAUUUGAAUGGAAUCUUAGCCGAUGAAAUGGGGCUAGGAAAGACCAUACAGACCAUUGCACUCAUCACUUAUCUGAUGGAGCACAAAAGACUCAAUGGUCCCUAUCUCAUCAUUGUUCCCCUUUCGACUCUAUCUAACUGGACAUAUGAAUUUGACAAAUGGGCUCCUUCUGUGGUGAAAAUUUCUUACAAGGGUACUCCUGCCAUGCGUCGCUCCCUUGUCCCCCAGCUACGGAGUGGCAAAUUCAAUGUCCUCUUGACUACUUAUGAGUAUAUUAUAAAAGACAAGCACAUUCUUGCAAAGAUUCGGUGGAAAUACAUGAUAGUGGACGAAGGCCACCGAAUGAAGAAUCACCACUGCAAGCUGACUCAGGUCUUGAACACUCACUAUGUGGCCCCCAGAAGGAUCCUCUUGACUGGGACCCCACUGCAGAAUAAGCUCCCUGAACUCUGGGCCCUCCUCAACUUCCUCCUUCCAACAAUUUUUAAGAGCUGCAGCACAUUUGAACAAUGGUUCAAUGCUCCAUUUGCCAUGACUGGUGAAAGGGUGGACUUAAAUGAAGAAGAAACUAUAUUGAUCAUCAGGCGUCUACAUAAGGUGUUAAGACCAUUUUUACUAAGGAGACUGAAGAAAGAAGUUGAAUCCCAGCUUCCAGAAAAAGUGGAAUAUGUGAUCAAGUGUGACAUGUCAGCUCUGCAGAAGAUUCUGUAUCGCCAUAUGCAAGCCAAGGGGAUCCUUCUCACAGAUGGUUCUGAGAAAGAUAAGAAGGGGAAAGGAGGCGCUAAGACUCUUAUGAACACUAUUAUGCAGUUGAGAAAAAUCUGCAACCACCCAUAUAUGUUUCAGCACAUUGAGGAAUCCUUUGCUGAACACCUAGGCUAUUCAAAUGGGGUCAUCAAUGGGGCUGAACUGUAUCGGGCCUCAGGAAAGUUUGAGCUACUUGAUCGUAUUCUGCCAAAAUUGAGAGCGACUAAUCACCGAGUGCUGCUUUUCUGCCAGAUGACAUCUCUCAUGACCAUCAUGGAGGAUUAUUUUGCUUUUCGGAACUUCCUUUACCUACGCCUUGAUGGCACCACCAAGUCUGAAGAUCGUGCUGCUUUGCUGAAGAAAUUCAAUGAACCUGGAUCCCAGUAUUUCAUUUUCUUACUGAGCACAAGAGCUGGUGGCCUGGGCUUAAAUCUUCAGGCAGCUGAUACAGUGGUCAUCUUUGACAGCGACUGGAAUCCUCAUCAGGAUCUGCAGGCCCAAGACCGAGCUCACCGCAUCGGGCAGCAGAAUGAGGUCCGGGUGCUGAGGCUCUGUACCGUGAACAGCGUGGAGGAAAAGAUCCUCGCGGCCGCAAAAUACAAGCUGAACGUGGAUCAGAAAGUGAUCCAGGCAGGCAUGUUUGACCAAAAGUCUUCAAGCCACGAGCGGAGGGCAUUCCUGCAGGCCAUCUUGGAGCAUGAAGAGGAAAAUGAGGAAGAAGAUGAAGUACCGGACGAUGAGACUCUGAACCAAAUGAUUGCUCGACGAGAAGAAGAAUUUGACCUUUUUAUGCGGAUGGACAUGGACCGGCGGAGGGAAGAUGCCCGGAACCCGAAACGCAAGCCCCGCUUAAUGGAGGAAGAUGAGCUGCCCUCCUGGAUCAUUAAGGAUGACGCUGAAGUAGAAAGGCUCACCUGUGAAGAAGAGGAGGAGAAAAUAUUUGGGAGGGGGUCUCGCCAGCGCCGUGACGUGGACUACAGUGACGCCCUCACGGAGAAGCAGUGGCUAAGGGCGAUUGAAGACGGCAAUUUGGAGGAAAUGGAAGAGGAAGUACGGCUUAAGAAGCGAAAAAGACGAAGAAAUGUGGAUAAAGAUCCUGCGAAAGAAGAUGUGGAAAAAGCUAAGAAGAGAAGAGGCCGCCCUCCCGCUGAGAAACUGUCACCAAACCCCCCCAAACUGACAAAGCAGAUGAAUGCUAUCAUCGAUACUGUGAUAAACUACAAAGAUAGUUCAGGGCGACAGCUCAGUGAAGUCUUCAUUCAGUUACCUUCAAGGAAAGAAUUACCAGAAUACUAUGAAUUAAUUAGGAAGCCAGUGGAUUUCAAAAAAAUAAAGGAAAGGAUUCGUAAUCAUAAGUAUCGGAGCCUGGGCGACCUGGAGAAGGAUGUCAUGCUUCUCUGUCACAACGCUCAGACGUUCAACCUGGAGGGAUCCCAGAUCUAUGAAGACUCCAUCGUCUUACAGUCAGUGUUUAAGAGUGCCCGGCAGAAAAUUGCCAAAGAGGAAGAGAGUGAGGAUGAAAGCAAUGAAGAGGAGGAAGAGGAAGAUGAAGAAGAGUCAGAGUCCGAGGCAAAAUCAGUCAAGGUGAAAAUUAAGCUCAAUAAAAAAGAUGAGAAAGGCCGGGACAAAGGAAAAGGCAAGAAAAGGCCAAAUCGAGGAAAAGCCAAACCUGUAGUGAGCGAUUUUGACAGCGAUGAGGAGCAGGAUGAACGUGAACAGUCAGAAGGAAGUGGGACGGAUGAUGAGUGAUCAAUACGGACCUUUUUCCUUGGUAGACCUGAAUUCCUUCCUUCCCUGUCUCAUUUCUACCCAGUGAGUUCAUUUGUCAUAUAGGCACUGGGUUGUUUCUAUAUCAUCAUCGUCUAUAAACUAGGAUAGUGCCAGACAAACAUAUGAUAUCAUGGUGUAAAAAACACACACAUACACAAAUAUUUGUAACAUAUUGUGACCAAAUGGGCCUCAAAGAUUCAGAUUGAAACAAAAAGCUUUUGAUGGAAAAUAUGUGGGUGGAUAGUAUAUUUCUAUGGGUGGGUCUAAUUUGGUAACGGUUUGAUUGUGCCUGGUUUUAUCACCUGUUCAGAUGAGAAGAUUUUUGUCUUUUGUAGCACUGAUAACCAGGAGAAGCCAUUAAAAGCCACUGGUUAUUUUAUUUUUCAUCAGGCAAUUUUCGAGGUUUUUAUUUGUUCGGUAUUGUUUUUUUACACUGUGGUACAUAUAAGCAACUUUAAUAGGUGAUAAAUGUACAGUAGUUAGAUUUCACCUGCAUAUACAUUUUUCCAUUUUAUGCUCUAUGAUCUGAACAAAAGCUUUUUGAAUUGUAUAAGAUUUAUGUCUACUGUAAACAUUGCUUAAUUUUUUUGCUCUUGAUUUAAAAAAAAGUUUUGUUGAAAGCGCUAUUGAAUAUUGCAAUCUAUAUAGUGUAUUGGAUGGCUUCUUUUGUCACCCUGAUCUCCUAUGUUACCAAUGUGUAUCGUCUCCUUCUCCCUAAAGUGUACUUAAUCUUUGCUUUCUUUGCACAAUGUCUUUGGUUGCAAGUCAUAAGCCUGAGGCAAAUAAAAUUCCAGUAAUUUCGAAGAAUGUGGUGUUGGUGCUUUCCUAAUAAAGAGAUAAUUUAGCUUGACAAA